rnacentral:rRNA from 1 species
GAUGAACGCUGGCGGUAUGCUUAACACAUGCAAGUCGAACGGUCUCUUCGGAGAUAGUGGCGGACGGGUGAGUAACGCGUGAGAAUCUGGCUUUAGGUCUGGGACAACCACUGGAAACGGUGGCUAAUACCGGAUGUGCCGAAAGGUGAAAGGUUAACUGCCUAGAGAUGAGCUCGCGUCUGAUUAGCUAGUUGGUAGGGUAAAGGCUUACCAAGGCGACGAUCAGUAGCUGGUCUGAGAGGACGAUCAGCCACACUGGGACUGAGACAC